GCUGGGCGUAGUGGCGCAGGCCUGUAAUCCUAGUUGCUGGGGAGGCAGAGGCAGGAGCAUCAUGAGUUCAAAGCCAGCCUCAGCAAAAAUGAGGCACUGAGCAACUCAGUGAGAUCCUGUGUCUA
rnacentral:sRNA from 1 species